AACGAACGCUGGCGGCAGGCCUAACACAUGCAAGUCGAGCGAGAUCUUCGGAUCUAGCGGCGGACGGGUGAGUAACGCGUGGGAACGUACCUUUUGCUACGGAAUAGCCUCGGGAAACUGGGAGUAAUACCGUAUGUGCCCUUCGGGGGAAAGAUUUAUCGGCAAAAGAUCGGCCCGCGUUGGAUUAGGUAGUUGGUGAGGUAACGGCUCACCAAGCCGACGAUCCAUAGCUGGUUUGAGAGGAUGAUCAGCCACACUGGGACUGAGACACGGCCCAGACUCCUACGGGAGGCAGCAGUGGGGAAUCUUAGACAAUGGGGGAAACCCUGAUCUAGCCAUGCCGCGUGAGCGAUGAAGGCCUUAGGGUUGUAAAGCUCUUUCAGCUGGGAAGAUAAUGACGGUACCAGCAGAAGAAGCCCCGGCUAACUCCGUGCCAGCCGCCGCGGUAACAC
rnacentral:rRNA from 1 species